rnacentral:lncRNA from 1 species
UUUUUUCUAUUUUCCAUUUUGCUUGCUUCUAAACCUUUUAAUCGAUAAAUGCCUGCAAUAAACAUAAAAUAUUGCGUAAUAAUAAGUGUUAAUCAAGUAAUAAGCAAUGCAUAUGAAUCCAAAAAUACGAUACGUUUUCACGUUAUCAAACUCCCACAUACUUAAACCUUUGCUUGUCCUCUAGCAAAUGCCACGUACAUGAACAAAACAUUUUGUAAAAUC